rnacentral:rRNA from 1 species
CCCUUAGAUGUUCUGGGCCGCACACGCGCUACACUGAAGGAGGCAGCGUGUACUCCUGGAUCGAAAGAUUUGGGUAACCCGCGAAUCUCCUUCGUGCUAGGGAUUGAGGUUUGCAAUUAUCCUUCAUGAACGAGGAAUUCCCAGUAAGUGCAAGUCAUAAGCUUGCGCUGACUACGUCCCUGCCCUUUGUACGCACCGCCCGUCGCUACUACCGAUUGAAUGAUUUAGUGAGGACUUCGGACUGGGACCGAUGCGGCUUUCGGGCUGCGUCGGUAUUCUGGAAAGAUGUCCAAACUGUAUCAUUUAGAGGAAGUAAAANUCGUAACA